UUAAGUUCAGCGGGUAGUCCCGCCUGAUUCGAGGUCAAGUUGAGAUGAAAUGUCCUGAAGGACGGUUAGAAGCAGACCAACGCGCAAGGCUACCCGCGGCGUAGAUAAUUAUCACACCAAGGGCAAACCCUACAAAAAGGGAUCCACUCAUGCAUUCAAGAGGAGCCGACGUCCCGAGGGAACACAACCGGCAAGACCUC
rnacentral:misc_RNA from 1 species